AGUAGGAUCUGCACUGACACACAGUCACAUCGGGUAGUGACAGGAAUGUAAUAAAAUGACAGAGGAAGGAAAAACAGACAUAAGAUCCUUUUUCAGUAAGCCUACACCAAAACGCCAAGCAAAGGAGACAGAAAGAACUGAGGAACAGGUAGAGCAGGGACAGUCAGGUGGAGAGUCUCAGGUAAGUGUGUUGAGCUUAGUUCAUAUUGUUGGAGGUGUGUGGCUGUCAGGGUUAGCAGAUGAGCUUUACUAGUGGCUCACUAAUUUACAUUAUGAUCAGCUAAUUUAACAAGUGUACAAAAGUAUUGUA